GCCUUUGUAGAUCAGCGGUAGAUCGCCUGAAAACUGUGAACAUAUUUGGCCAUUCUUUCGGGACAAGUGGGUUCAAAUCCCAGCGGCGGCA